rnacentral:rRNA from 1 species
UACGAAGGGGCGUAGCGUUGUUCGGAAUCACUGGGCGGUAAAGACGCACGUAGGCGGACUUUUAAGUUCAGGGGUGGAAAUACCCGGGGCCGUCAACCCCGGAACCUGCCUUUGUAUACUGGAAGUCUUGAGUCCGAGAGAGGUGAGUGGAACUCCGAGUGUAGAGGUGAAAUUCGUAGAUAUUCGGAAGAACACCAGUGGCGAAGGCGGCUCACUGGCUCGGUACUGACGCUGAGGUGCGAAAGCGUGGGGAGCAAACAGGAUUAGAUACCCGGGUAGU